rnacentral:lncRNA from 1 species
CACGCAGCUGGAUGGGUGAAUGGUGGCGCCAUCAGUCCAGCUCAAGAGCCCAGGUUCUUAAUUAUCAUGUCAUCUUGCCUCUUAUGUGAAGGGAUGGCAUUUUUCACUUCCUCCCAGUCUUUCUCUGACUUCUUUGAUGUUGUCAGUCUCCUCUUCACAGCCCUCGUCUUCCAUCAACGCCUUGGAUUCCUCUGCUCCACUGGAGAUGGUUGUGGUGACACCAAGUAUGGCCAGCGGAAUUCUAGAACGGCCCGCAAGACUUCUGGUCCCUGGUGCACAUGUCCUGCGCCAUCCCCAGGACAGUGACUGUGAUGGAUUUCCUUCUGUGAUGGGGUUGUGUUCCAUGACACAGCUGAUUGUAAGAAAGGGAACUUAUUCUGGCAAGAGCAGGUGGAGCUUGGAUAGGUAAGUCAGGCAUCACACCACCUGGUACUUUUGUUCUCCUGCCUGCACCUCAACUCAGGGAUGCUGAUCUGAGAAAAGCAGUGGCCAAACCACCUCCAGCCUUAUUCAAAUAGAUGUCUCUCCAGGUUGGGGGGUCAGGGGGGUGCACUGAGGGUUUGGGAUGGAAAUGCUGUAAAAUUUGGUUGUGAUGAUUGUUGUACACCUAUAAAUAUAAUAAAAUUCAUUAAGUAAUUCAAAAAAUAAGGACAGCUUAAUCUGAAAAAAUAGUAUAUUAUUAAACAGAAUAAAUUAAUUAAUUAAUUAAUUAAAAUGAAAUAGAUGUCUCUCCCCUGCUGGGCUCAUUGAGCUUGCUUUCUCUUCCCUCCCCUAGCCUGGGAGCCUGAUAGAUAUACUUUUCUGGGACUAGAGUAAAAGGUAAAUGUGUAUUCAUUUGAAAUAUGAGUUUUGAGAGUCGCCUGCUCCUGUGUCAACAACAUUACAGAUUAAUCCAAAGGAGUCAGUUCUUUCUCACCAAGUUCACUGAACUCUAACUCCUAAAUUUGUCUUUUUUGUGCCCACACCUUAAUUCACCCUAAAGGAGGCAUAUUGCUUCUGAUUGAGGCUGAGUUGGGUAAGUUCCAAUAUUCUGGCUGGUAGGCUUUAGGGUCAAGGUGACCUUUGCUGAAUGUGGGUGAGGUACACUUUUGACAUUCCGUGUGAUUUGCAGAGAAGAGUAGGCAGUCCCCUGCCGUGUCCCCAAGCCUUCCACUUACCUCUAAGCCCUGGGAGCUAAUGCGCUCUGGUUCCUUUUCUUCUGGUGCUGACAGUUAAACUUGAAGGCCACGAAAGCAGUGGAUUUCAGAGCAGUGGACAGAGUAGUCCAUUUGACUUGUUUUGAUUUGAGGACCUCUUCAGUUGUAUUAGCCUUGGCAAUGGGAACCUUCCCUUAGAGCCUUAGCCUGUUGGCAUUUGUGCAUUAGAGGGUUUUUUCUUUUCUUUUUUGGCCCCACCCACGGCAUAUGGAAGUUCCUGGGCCAGGGAUCAAACCCCAGCCACAGCAGCGACCCAAGCCACUGCAGUGACAAAGCUGGAUCCUUAACCUGCUGCGCCGCAAGGGAACUCCUAGGGUUUUUAUUUUACAGAUUUAUAGAAUAUAUUUUAAAAUAGUGUAAUGACUCUUAUAUACCCGUCAUCUGCCCAUCCAAUUGUCAGCUCUUGGCUAGCUUGUUUGAUCCUUAUUUAUAUCUGCUUCCACCUCUUCUGUUAUUUUUUUUUUUAAUUGUGGUGUUAAAAAUUACAUAACAUUAAUUUCACCAUCCUAACCGUUUUAAGGUUACACUCGAAGACUGUGAAGGGUACUGACAUUACCGUGGAACGGCUUUCUCUCCUCCUGCCCUCAGCUCUUGGCAAAACCACUUUCUCUUUUCCUUUUUGUUUUUUAGGGCCGCACCUGCGGCAUAAGGAAGUUCCCAGGCGAGGGGUUAAAUUGGAGCUACAGCUGCCAGCCUACACCACAGCCACGACAGGGCCAGACCAGAGCAGCAUCAGCUCAGGGCAAAGCCAGAUUCUUACUUAACCCACUGAGCGAGGCCAGGGAUUGAACCCACGUCCUCAUGGAUGCUAGUUGAGGUCUUUUCCUCUGCAACCUCUUUUCUACUUUCUCUUUUAGGAUUUUGACCACUGUAGAUACUUCAUAGUAGAAUCAUACAGUAUUUGUCCGUUUGCAACUGGCUCGUUCCACUCAGCACCCUGUCUUCAAGGCUCUUCUAUGUCAUAAGUAGCAUGUGACAGGAUGUCCUUUCCUAAGGCCGCAGAGCCCGCCACUGUGCAAAUAAACCACGUUUUAUCUACUCUUCUGUCAAUGAGCGUUUGGACUGUCUCCACCUCUUUUUCUAUUACUUUUCAAUAAAUCCUAUUAUUGGAAAUACUCUUUAUUUCAGCUUAAUCCAAUCCUCGUUAGGCCAUUUCAUCUUAAGUCAGUCAAGCCCCUAAUUCAAUAUGAUAUACAUCUGGGUAACCAUUAUGGUACAUGAUAUAUACGUGGGCAGAGGCGUAAUCAAAGGAGAGAACGAACUUAUCGGUGGGCAAAUUGCUCCAUUUUUUUAAAAUCUAGAAAUAUGUUGCAUCGUUACUGAAGUUCACAAAUUCAUCCUGCCUGAGUUUAAAGGAAACAAGUUCCCCAGUCAAGCACUGAUGCUGAAUAAUUCAUAGAAAUUGCCUUAAGGUGACAAUUUCAGAUUUUCACGAGCAUCAGUGUUGCGCUAAGAUUCCAAACACCUCAGAUGGUAAACACAUUUCAGGGGAAAAUUCUUAACUCAGAAAACUCCAUGUUAUCAGCUACAUCUCAGCACAAAAUCAGUUUGAAUGUUCUAAAAUCAAUGGGAUAACGGGCAAAAUGUAAAUAAGAUCUAUAGAUUAUAGAAUCAGAACAAUGUGAAUUUCCCAGUUUUAAUAAUUAUACUCUGAAUUAUGAUUUUGAAUAACUGCACUGUGUAAGAUGUUAACAGUUGUAGAAACUUGUACUGUUUUUGCCACAGCUGUGCAAAUCUGAAGUUAUUUCAAAAUAAAAGCGUUUGAGCACUAGUUUCUCUAUAGAUAAUUGGCCUCUUCUGAAUAAAACUUAGAUUUGCCCUUUUAAAAUCCCAAACUUGCAGUUCCUGAUGUGGCACAGCAGUGUGUCUCUGCAGUGAUUUGGGCUGCUGCUGAGGUAUAGGUUUGAUCCCCAGCCUGGAGCACUGGGUUAAGAAUCCAGCAUUGCCACAGCUGUGGCAUAGGUCACUGCUGGGCUCAGACUUGAUCCCUGGCCCUAGAACCUCCAAAUGCCACAGGUAUGGGGGAAAAAAAAUCCCAAACUCGGCGGGUUAGAGAUUGAAAAAUGCACCUACUGCAGGAAGGUGAAAAUAAAGGGGUAAUAACCUUGGUCAUCCUGGAGUUCCCGUUGUGGCGCAGCGGAAACAAAUCUGACUAGGAACCAUGAGGUUGCGUGUUCGAUCCCUGGCCUCCAUCAGUGGGUUAAGGAUCUGGCGUUGCCCUGAGCUGUGGUGUAGGUCGCAGACACAGCUUGGAUCCCUUGUGGCUGUGGCUGUGGUGUAGGCUGGCAGCAACCGCUGCGAUUAGACCCCUAGCUUGGAAACCUCCAUGUGCCGCGGGUGCGGCCCUGAAAAGACAAACAACAAUAAUAAUAAUAGCAAUAAUAAUAAUAAUCUUGGUCAUCCUACAUGACCAAGCAAGAGUAGGGCAUGCUGGGAUCUUGCUGCCCAGAGACCCAUCUCCCUUUCUGAUGUGUAAAGGACAGCCAGGUGCCAACAACUAAGCAGGAGUACCCACAAAAUUCCUAAUCUUUGACUUUUAAAUAAGAACAUAAUUUUCAGGGUUUCAUCAUGGCUCAAUGGUUAACGAACCUGACUUGCAUCCAUGAGGAUGCGGGUUUAAUCCCUGGCCUCACUCAGUGGGUUAAGGAUCCAGCAUUGCCGUGAGCUGUGGUGUAGCUUGCAGAUGUGGCUUGAAUCUGACACUGCUGUGGCUAUGGUGUAGGCUGGUGGCUGCAGCUCCAAUUCGACCCCUAGCCUGGGACCCUCCAUGUGGGUGCGGCCCUAAAAAGACCGGGAAAAAAAAAAAAA